rnacentral:rRNA from 1 species
UAGGGAAUCUUCCGCAAUGGGCGAAAGCCUGACGGAGCAACGCCGCGUGAGUGAUGAAGGUCUUCGGAUCGUAAAACUCUGUUAUUAGGGAAGAACAAAUGUGUAAGUAACUAUGCACGUCUUGACGGUACCUAAUCAGAAAGCCACGGCUAACUACGUGCCAGCAGCCGCGGUAAUACGUAGGUGGCAAGCGUUAUCCGGAAUUAUUGGGCGUAAAGCGCGCGUAGGCGGUUUUUUAAGUCUGAUGUGAAAGCCCACGGCUCAACCGUGGAGGGUCAUUGGAAACUGGAACACUUGAGUGAAGAAGAGGAAAGUGGAAUUCCAUGUGUAGCGGUGAAAUGCGCAGAGAUAUGGAGGAACACAAGGGGCGAAGGCGACUUUCUGGUCUGUAACUGACGCUGAUGUGUGAAAGCGUGGGGAUCAAACAGG